GUGAAUAACUCUGGUGGUAUACGAUGGUUCCGCGUCUGAUUAGCUAGUUGGUGGGGUAAUGGCCUACCAAGGCAACGAUCAGUAGCCGGCCUGAGAGGGUGAACGGCCACAUUGGGACUGAGACACGGCCCAAACUCCUACGGAAGGCAGCAG
rnacentral:rRNA from 1 species